UGCGUCUUCAACAACAACAAAUUCGAAUCAAUUUCCAACCAAAAAUCAGAAAUUCGAGAUUGCAGGAAUAUAUUCUGAAAACAUCAGAAUUUUGAAGACGGAAUCGUCAAGUGAAUAUGCUCUAUCUCCUGAAGUACUUUCUGAAGCGGUAUCACAUGAUGUUGCUUCUGGUCUCAAACCUCUUUUCUUAUGUGCUACUAGGUGGAAGUGGCAGACAAACUUCUUGAGUUUCGUUCCAAGCAUGAUGGUUUUGUGGAUACAAGUUUUGAUACUAUAAGUGGUUCUGGUCCGAAUGGUGCAAUAAUUCAUUACAAACCAGAACCAGAUAGUUGCAGCAUUGUGGAUCCUGAAAAACUCUUCUUGCUUGACAGUGGAGCACAAUAUAUAGAUGGGACAACAGACAUAACGAGGACGGUUCAUUUUGGUGAAACUACUUCUCGAGAAAAAGAGUGUUUCACUCGUGUUUUACAGCACAGCACAUCAGAGCGCCACCAGCACAGCACCACAGAAGCUCACCAGUACCGCAACACAGAGGACCACGCAGCAGAACCCAGCAAACACAGCAGCCUGACUAGCAAGCAACACAGCACUACAGCAGAGCAGCAAACACCCAGCACUACAACAGAGCAGAACAGAAACACAGCAGCUCAAGCACUCAAACCAGUCACCCAGUCAGCCUGAACAUAACAAAGACACGGCCACAGAAGCAAACAGAUGCCUAGCCAGCAUGAACAAGCAGAGGCACAGCAGCGCAGCUAAAUGGAAACAGCAGAGCAGUUUGGUUAUUUAAUUUUUUUUAGACGAAAAUUAUAAUAUUACAGCCUUUUUUAAUGAAAAUAUGUAACUUUAUUUUUUUUAU